ensembl:lncRNA novel transcript, sense overlapping KCNA1
GGCACUGUGCGCGAGAGAGGAGGGAAAGGGGAAGCGUUCGUGCCUCUCUGCCCCCUGUCCCCCUCUUGCUGCAUAGUAGCCACAUCCAUGUCUCUUGUACCCUGCAAUCUGGAGGCCACUGCCAGAAGCUGGAAAUCUCAAGUAGAGCAGCAAAAGGCUUGAGGAUGGAUUCUUGGCUCCUGGUGCAUUGCCACUCCCUGCCACCCUCCUCCUUGUCUUCUAUCUUCUCCUGGUGGCGUCAGGCCUUGCUUCGUGUCCCAACAGGAGCCUCUGGGGCUGGCACAGCCCUCACUGCCUACAACCUGGGCCUGGUGGUUCUCCUAGGGUGCCUCUGGGAGGUCAUGGUCACCCCGCUGCUGGCUAACUGCAGCUACUUCUGCCAGCCAGUGGACUACAGAUGGAGAAAGCAUGGAAUGAGGGCAUCUUCCUGGAGACAGGAAGGUAGGCACUGUGGAAUCAGCGGUGCGUAGAACAGUGAGGAUUUGGGGCUGAACCCAGCCCAGGUGGGCCAAGCCGUGGCACCAGCCGGACUGCAGUCUGAUGGAACUUCCCCUUCCUGCCCAGCAGAUGGCGAGCGUGUGCUGCUGGUGCCUCUUUCCAAAGGACGUUGAAUUGCUUGACAGGUGUUCUUUACUUUAUGAAUGAAGCCAGAGCAGCCCACCUUCCUGCAUCUCUACCACCAUGGCACCAUGCCCUGUGAUGGGUGGGCUGGAGUCAAAUAUGUAGCAGGCAGCCAGGGUCAGUUUGUGGCCACUGCUGCCCCCUCUUCCUACAGUCUCCUCACUGAGUGCCCCUUCCCUGUUGGGUUCAACACAUCUGUGCUCCUGUAAGCCCUCAGCCUCCUCGUUCUCUUCCUCAACUUCUACCACCAGACACAUCUGAGAAGCAAGCAAGAGAGGCUGAACUAGGAGCAGGACCCAGGGACUGAAACCAGCACAGCAUCCCCACAGAGAAUUGGGUGGAAGGCAGCAUGGCUUCCAGCUUACUGGUGCUGAGCAGAUUGCUCUGGGUCUCCAUUGUAUCCUCUGAAGGAAGGAGGAGGAUUGCCUUCUGUCCAGAUCUCAGGAUCAAACAAAUAGGUCCAAUUUCCUGUGCUCACUUCAGUUAGAGCACUUCUCAUGUGACUUUGUAGCUUUGUGUGCAUCUCCUUCCUCUACUAGACCUAAGCCCCUCACGGGAGGGACUCUCUUAUUCUUGAUGUUCCCCACACCUGGAAUUUCAAUAAACAUCUCAAUAAA